AUCAACAUGGAGGCACUGGAGGAAGGGAGAAGGAGAGCACUGCUAGCAGGCCACUUGCUAGCAUCCAGGGCUAGCAUUAGCUGAUAAGGCUAAUGCUACAUCAGCAAACAUUGGACACACUGAGCUUUUGGAAGCAGUUGUGGUCACUCGUGGAAAAGGAGGCUCUUUGAUAAAGGUGGAGUGUAGAAAUGGAAACGCUCUUGUUGGUGAAGUUACCCUCAAGGACAAGAAGCUGGUGUGUUGUUGAUCCAACACUUUUCCACCAAUGAGGAGGCACUGGGCUACAGUGGCGAACGUCCUGUUGAAUGGCGGAUACCUCAGGAAGACUGGAAUCUGCCUUGGAUGGAUGGGGCAAGAAAGUAGAACCAGUAGAUCCAUACACCGAACUCUGGACCGCCGGACAGCUGGAGUCAUGUGACCGAGGUUUCCCAGCUGUAAUCACUGAAUCAAGGACUCUCCUCCUCCUCCUCCUCCUCAU